GAGAAAGAGAGAGAGAGAGCGGAAUCCACGUCUCAGGAAAACCGCUCCCAAAUCUGCCGAUUCUUUUACCAGAAACCCUAAUUUUCGAUCGAUUUUCAACCUCUACCGUCAUAAACCUGCCUCAGAACUCAUAGAUUUCCACAUCUCACAGCUGGAAUCUCCUCGAUUGGAUAUUCUCUGUCCGAUUCCUGGCCGAACGGCAUCGAAACCGUCGGGUUUCGUUACAGAUCGCUGUGAUUUGGUGGAAGGCCGCUUUCCGAUGGCGGGGAAUCGUUUUACCUCUGUAAGAUCGGGUUUCCGCGAAGGCAGUUGGCGGAGGAUCGGAGAUCCGGAAGAAAUGUGGUGUCUUUAGAUUAUCAAACUUCGACAGACCUCCGUUGGUCCGGCUUCUCAGCCACUGAAUUUUCUGCAUUGAUUGCGGCGAUUUCCAGGUAAAAUCCAGCAAAGUGCCCCAUCUGUGCAGAUUCUUCUUGUGAAAAGGUGAAGACAAGAUGCAGUCGAAAUCCCGAAUCCAUGACACCUCUUCUUUUGAACUUGAUGAAUUCGACAGAAUCCCUGAUUCCAUAUUACUCAUCAUCCUCAACAAGCUUGCGGACGUCCGGUCCCUCGGCCGUUGUACAGUUGUCUCCAAGCGGUUCAACUCCCUUGUGCCCCUUGUGAAUGAUGUCUUUGUCAAGAUCGACCGUGUUGUAUCCAUUGACGGUGAUGAUGAUGAUGACCUGGACUCCUCUUCCCAGAAGCCCCGGAACCUCUUCUCUCACCUCCUCAAGCUCAUGUUCUUCACCCUCCUCAAACCCUUCCACAAUCUCCACAGAAGCAACAAUGCGAACAAACCCCUUCUCCCCCAACUCUCUCAUCACUCUGCUGAGCAAGUCCUGAAGAACUUCAACCACAUCCACAAUUUCCGAAUCGAGUUACCAGCCGGGGAUGUUGGCACCGAGGAUGGUGUUCUUCUAAAAUGGAAAGCUGAAUUUGGCAGCACCCUCCAGAACUGUGUCAUUUUGGGAGGUACCCAGAUAGACCGGAAGCCGGUUUCUGAUCAAGAGCCACCUGAGGACAAUGGGAGUAUGCCUGAAUCAUUCUACACAAAUGGGGGGUUGAAGUUGCGAGUGGUUUGGACGAUUAGCUCCUUGAUUGCUGCUUCCACGAGGCAUUAUCUGCUGCGGCCGAUAAUCAAAGACCACCCGACUCUGAAAAGCUUAGUCUUGACGGAUGCAGACGGGCAAGGGACUCUGAGUAUGGCAGGUGAGCAGCUGAGAGAGUUCAGGGAGAAACCGCUGGCCGCCUCAGCAUCCUCGAGCAGGACGCAGGUGCCAGCUUCCAACAUGAAACUGAGGUAUGCACCAUACCUGGAGCUUCCAGAAGGGAUGGGGAUGCAGGGGGCAACGCUGGUGGCGAUUAAGCCAUCAGAGUGCAGCGGGGGAAGCAGGAAGGAGGCGGAGGCGUUCAUUUCAGGGGCGUUUGAUGGCCCGUUCAAGGCAGCUGUGAAAGCGCUGGCAAAACGGAGGACUUACCUCUUGGAGAUGAAUGGGUUUUAAGGCCAGAGGUUGCUUUGGUUGGCCUUUCGGUUCUCUCUUUCUUCACACUCCUCGAUUCGCAGUUUUUCAGCUGAAAUUGAGUGAGAAAUGGUCCAAGAAUUUGCUGGCCCAGCCCAGUUCCCGAUCAGAUAGAAUGUGAAGAAUCCCGAAACUGUUUGUUUUCAUGGAAAACAAAAACCCUGUUUCGACGAAGAAGAGAUGCCGCUCUGUGCUUGGAUGAGAUGCAGUGCCAAUUGAGACAUGUUACAACCCAUCUGUCGGGCACGUAGCAUGUGUGUGAUUUUCCAAAUCAUGGGGACCCGAUUGUGGAUCAAGCAUGCUUUGACCCAUUGAUUUUUGGGUGACCAUCGCUGUUCUGACGGUUGGGAUCUUUGCCUCCAGCCAAACUGCGUCCCGCAUUUUGGAUGGUAAGCAUGCAUUUGUCAUCUGCGCAUCAGAUGUGUCACUUUUUGCGCUUUUAAUAUCAGUAUCUUUAGCAAACUUUUACAAUUAAUUGGAGACUGUGGGGUAGUUGUCUCUUUGAUUGGAA